GGGCCCGUGGCGCAACGGAUAGCGCGCUUGGCUUCGGACCAAGCGGUUGCGGGUUCGAAUCCCGUCGGGCCCG
rnacentral:tRNA from 1 species